AACGAACGCUGGCGGCAUGCCUAACACAUGCAAGUCGAACAAAGGCUUCGGCCUUAGUGGCGCACGGGUGAGUAACACGUGGGAACCUGCCUUUCGGUUCGGGAUAACGUCUGGAAACGGACGCUAACACCGGAUACGCCCAUCCAGCGAUGGUUGGGGAAAGUUUACGCCGAGAGAGGGGCCCGCGUCCGAUUAGGUAGUUGGUGAGGUAACGGCUCACCAAGCCGACGAUCGGUAGCUGGUCUGAGAGGAUGAUCAGCCACACUGGGACUGAGACACGGCCCAGACUCCUACGGGAGGCAGCAGUGGGGAAUAUUGGACAAUGGGCGCAAGCCUGAUCCAGCAAUGCCGCGUGAGUGAUGAAGGCCUUAGGGUUGUAAAGCUCUUUCGCACGUGACGAUGAUGACGGUAACGUGAGAAGAAGCCCCGGCUAACUUCGUGCCAGCCGCCGCGGUAACAC
rnacentral:rRNA from 1 species